GUUUUUCAUAGCCACCGUGCUUCUACACCUGCAUUGCUUGCUGUUUGGGGUUUUAGGCUGGGUUUCUGUACAGCACUUUGAGAUAUCAGCUGAUGUACGAAGGGCUAUAUAAAUAAAUUUGAUUUAAUUUGAGCUGCCGGUUGCUAGGUGAUGGCUGGUGGAUGGGGUAGCAGGUUGCUAGGUGAGGGGUGGUGGAUGGGAUAGCAGGUCUCUUGUGGAUGGGUGGUGGUUUCUAGGUGAGGGGUGGUAGAUGGUAUAUCAGGUUGCUAGGUGAGUGGUGGUGGAUGGGACAGCAGGUCUCUAGGGGAUGGGUGGUGGUUGCUAGGUGAGGGGUGGUGGAUG
ensembl:lncRNA